rnacentral:misc_RNA from 1 species
GAAAUGCGAUAAGUAAUGUGAAUUGCAGAAUUCAGUGAAUCAUCGAAUCUUUGAACGCACCUUGCGCUCCUUGGUAUUCCGAGGAGCAUGCCUGUUUGAGUGUCAUUAAAUUCUCAAUCCAUGUGAUUUUAUCACCUGGACUUGGAUGUGUGGGAGCUUGCAGGUCUCUUUCAAGUCUGCUCUCCUUAAAUGCAUUAGUGGGACUUGUUGCGACGGUCUGCGGUGUGAUAAUUAUCUACACCUUGGCUGGUGCAGUCUUGUGGUCCGGCUUCUUAACAGUCCAUUCGAUUGGACAACUCCUUGACGAUUUGACCUCAAAUCAGGUAGGACUACCCGCUGAACUUAA